GAUAUUGUCUAGUAACACUUGUAAACAAUGAAAACUUUUUUGGAAUCUCAAUCUGGGAACUGGGAUCUACAUAGUCAUAACCUUGCAGUCUAUAUGGAAAAUGAUAUAAAGCUUAUCUGUUUCUAUUACCUAAGCUUUACAAGGUUUUGAUGUGGUCAGCACAACGACUUACCACCUUUACUUUCCCCAGCUAAUAUCAGUCAGUAGCAGAUGUCAGAGAAAACAAUCCAUGACUUUGAUGGAGCACCUUUUUUAGUGGGCACUGGUGCACUGGAAAGAUUUGUACAGACUCCACCCUGUGGGUCAGUUCAUGAACAGAAUGAUAUACACAAAAUGUCAGGAGGCAGGAUGGGCAAAGUGUCCAGUUUCAUCAAUAUGUGGAUACCUGGGAGACCUGUUGAAAUGGAGAUCAGUGGUGGGUACAUGUGCAGAUGAUGUUCCUACAUGAAGUCAUGUAAAGUACAUGGAUGAAGAUGUGCAUAGAGAACUCAACAUGGCAUUGGGACAUUGGAAUUAAGGCUGUUUUAAGUUAUUAGUUUAAGUUAUUGUAUUUUAUGUCAGUCUUGUUUUGUAAUUGUUGUUUUUGGAUGUGUCCAAAGUAACCUUGAAAGUUUUGUUUGUAAUGUCUGACAUACUGUUGUUCAUCUUGUUUGACAGUCAUUGAAGUAGUUGUUUUUUACUGGCUUUAAUGUAGUUCUGUUAUGUAUUUAGCUAUUUAGUAUCAAUCUCUAAGACAGUAAUUCUAAUUCUUUGAGUUUGAAAGUAUUUUUUUUCUUCCUUUAAUCGAGUAUUUAUUUGAGAAGGUCUUCUCAUUUAAAGUCCAUCUAGUUUGGAAUGUGAAACAAGUUAGUUUCUUAGUUAUCUUUUAUUUUUAAUUUUAAAAAGUAAUCUAAAUCAAUAUUUGUUUAAGUUCUAUUAAAUAUUUUUUUAUUAAAGAAUAAAAAGUCUUUUCUAAUAAAGGUGAAAAUAACUUCGAGGAAAUAUUCAUGGCCUUUCAAACUCAAUUUAUCACUGAGAUGUUAGGGUAAAUGUGAAGAUGGUUUUAAAUAACUGGAACUUUGCAAAUAGUCUUAUUUGUUUAUUUCUGUAUUUCUGAAAGUCUUUGACUAUACACAUGCUUCCUCAACUUACAACAUGUUAACCUGACAAUACAUAGUAACUGUGACAUACUGCAUGUGACCAGUCAAUACAUUUCCCCUGUUACUUACUGCAUGCUUACCUUACUAUACACUCACAUAGCAACUGAUUGUGUUUUGUAUUGUUCAAAUAUCUAGAAAAAUAAUUUUAAUUCUUUGAGAUUUUCAGAAGAAUAAUUAGUCUCUUCUGAUACAGAUCAAACAACAUGGACGAAAUGUAUUUCCAGAACUAAACAUGCCUCCUUGCCAUUGUAAUUGAGGUGAAGUUUAAGUCAUUAGACUUUUAUUGAAUGUUUCUUCAAGCAAUAUGACAAAAUAAAAACAUUGCAACAUUCUGCAUGUUGACUUGACAAUACAAUUAUUUUUAGACUCAUUCUACCUGGCAAUAUACAUAUGUAGGGACUUGUUGCAUAUGGACCUGAUUUCUACAACAUUUAAGGAGACAGACUGUAUAUUGACAUGGGGUGUAAGGUAGUUGAAAAGGUUAUUUGUCAGCAAAAUUCUACUUUAGAAUAGCCAAAAGCCUAAAGUUCCCAUCUACCUAGCUCAUCUAUGGCUCCUCGUGCCACACCCUGGCAACAGUCUUGGUUGGUUGGCUGAAUACAUGAGUGAAAACAGUUACUUAACAAAAGGAUUUGUAAAGUAAAUUUUAUAUUGAUAAUUUAUGUAUUUGUUUUUUUUUAACAGUUAAUUUUGUUUAAUGCUGUUUUAAGUUAUUGGACCUUUGUAUAUUGUCUUUUAUGUCAGUCUUAUUUUGUUAUAUGACAAAUUACAAACAAGACAGACAUAGGUUGUAUUUUAGUUAAUAAGUUGAAUUGACAACCAUAUUCUUUAGAAUUGUCAGAAGCUUAAAAGGUGAUUUGACAACUAUAUUCAAAUGCCUAAAAAUCUACCCAGCUCAUGUAUUGCUUGUUGUGCCACACCCUGGGCAACAAUCUUAGCUGACUGACUGAAUACAUGUGUGAAAGCAGUUAUUUACUUAAUGUUCUGAUUAAUACAUAAUGUCCUAAUAAUUGUUUUUCACAGUAAUUUUGUAUUGAUAAUGUAUGAAACUAAUUAUAAGAACUGGAAAUUUAAGGAUACUGUAUUUGACUUGUUGACUGCUGUAAAGUUUGAUCUUUCUUCUGCUUAAAAAAAAUGAGACUGACUAUCAUGAUAAAUUUAAAUGAUUGUUAGUUUAUCACUUAUUGAGUUAUAUGUAUUUAUGUAAAAAAAAGUGCUUAUUUUAAAAUAGAUGGUUCCUUGUAAAUAUUUUUAAAAAAUGGUACCCCUUUCAGACCUUGUGAUCUAUGAGGGUAGAUGAUGUAAAGCUCAUUUGUUUCUUUUGCUAACAAUUAAGGAGGGUGUCAUGUGGCCAACACAAUGACCAACUGCUUUUACUUCAAUAGUGUAUGUCAUGUACCCAUUAGAGUUGGGUUGACUCAGGGGUCUGAGUAAAUAUGCCUUCUGUUAUUUUUCUACAGAAAUUCAAAUUAUGUGAAAAAAAAAUGUUUGUUAAUAACACAUUUAGUGAAAAAAAUGUUGACCUGAUUAAUUGAGGCUAAGCUUGUUCUAAUACAGUCAGACACUGGAUACCAUAAAAACUCAUUUGAAGGUGAAACAGCUAAGCUCUUUUUAGUCUGGAGUAUGCCAGCAAUCUUCCCAAUAAAGUUUUAUAAAGAAUAAAUGAAAUGCAUUCUACAGUCUAACUCUCUCCAUUUUGUAAUAAGAUUUGAUAUCAUUUAUUUUGUUUUCCUCAGGCCACAAUGAAAACAAAAGAACAAAAAAAAUGUGAAUUCGAGCUACUCUUCAUGUUUGAUUGUUUUGAAAUUGUAUACAAAGUGUCAGUUUAUUUUAAAUUUAUUAAAUUGAUAAAAUAAUCCAUAAGUUGUUUGGCAUUUAAUUAUUUUGGAUAUGUAAAUAGUUAAAGAAGUUGUAUAAAAAGACAUAUACACUAAUAUUUUGGUACAAACACAAAACGAAAUUGAAAGAUUUUAUUUAAAAAAUUAACAUCCAACAUGUCACUCUUUACUAAGCAAGAAAUAUGUAUUCAUUUAGGAUUGUUUAAAAUAAACUGA